AUUGAACGCUGGCGGCAGGCCUAACACAUGCAAGUCGAGCGGUAGAGAGGUGCUUGCAUCUCUUGAGAGCGGCGGACGGGUGAGUAAUGCCUAGGAAUCUGCCUAGUGGUGGGGGAUAACGUUCGGAAACGGACGCUAAUACCGCAUACGUCCUACGGGAGAAAGCGGGGGAUCUUCGGACCUCGCGCCAUUAGAUGAGCCUAGGUCGGAUUAGCUAGUUGGUGAGGUAAUGGCUCACCAAGGCGACGAUCCGUAACUGGUCUGAGAGGAUGAUCAGUCACACUGGAACUGAGACACGGUCCAGACUCCUACGGGAGGCAGCAGUGGGGAAUAUUGGACAAUGGGCGAAAGUCUGAUCCAGCCAUGCCGCGUGUGUGAAGAAGGUCUUCGGAUUGUAAAGCACUUUAAGUUGGGAGGAAGGGUAGUAACCUAAUACGUUG
rnacentral:rRNA from 1 species